AUACGUAGGGGGCGAGCGUUGUCCGGAAUGAUUGGGCGUAAAGGGCGCGUAGGCGGCGCGGUAAGUCUGGAGUGAAAGUCCUGCUUUCAAGGUGGGAAUUGCUUUGGAUACUGCCGCGCUUGAGUGCAGGAGAGGUUAUCGGAAUUCCCGGUGUAGCGGUGAAAUGCGUAGAGAUCGGGAGGAACACCAGUGGCGAAGGCGGGUAACUGGACUGCAACUGACGCUGAGGCGCGAAAGUGAGGGGAGCAAACAGGAUUAGAUACCCUGGUAGUCCACACUGUAAACGAUGAAUGCUAGGUGUAAGAGGUAUCGACCCCUUUUGCGCCGGAGUCAACACAAUAAGCAUUCCGCCUGGGGAGUACGGCCGCAAGGUUGAAACUCAAAGGAAUUGACGGGG
rnacentral:rRNA from 1 species